AGGACUAACGCUGGCGGCGUGCCUAACACAUGCAAGUCGAACGAGGGGUAGCAAUACCCCUAGUGGCAGACGGGUGAGUAACACGUAGUCAACCUACCUCUUAAUGGGGGAUAACUAGCCGAAAGGUUAGCUAAUACCGCAUACGAUCGUCGAGUGGCAUCACACGACGAUGAAAGGAGCAAUCCGUUGAGAGAGGGGACUGCGUCCCAUUAGUUAGUUGGUGGGGUAAUGGCCUACCAAGACUCCGAUGGGUAGCUGGCUUGAGAGAGCGACCAGCCACACUGGAACUGAGACACGGUCCAGACUCCUACGGGAGGCAGCAGUGAGGAAUUUUCCGCAAUGGGGGAAACCCUGACGGAGCGACGCCGCGUGUGGGAAGAAGGCCUUCGGGUCGUAACCACUGUCGAGGGGGACGAUAUUGACGGUACCCCUGGAGGAAGCCCCGGCUAACCUACGUGCCAGCAGCCGC
rnacentral:rRNA from 1 species